AACGAACGCUGGCGGCAUGCCUAACACAUGCGAGUCGAACGAGACCUUCGGGUCUAGUGGCGCACGGGUGCGUAACGCGUGGGAACCUGCCCUUAGGUUCGGAAUAACUCCCCGAAAGGGGUGCUAAUACCGGAUAAUGUCUUCGGACCAAAGAUUUAUCGCCUUUGGAUGGGCCCGCGUUGGAUUAGCUAGUUGGUAGGGUAAAAGCCUACCAAGGCGACGAUCCAUAGCUGGUCUGAGAGGAUGAUCAGCCACACUGGGACUGAGACACGGCCCAGACUCCUACGGGAGGCAGCAGUGGGGAAUAUUUGACAAUGGGCGAAAGCCUGAUCCAGCAAUGCCGCGUGAGUGAUGAAGGCCUUAGGGUUGUAAAGCUCUUUUACCCGGGAUGAUAAUGACAGUACCGGGAGAAUAAGCUCCGGCUAACUCCGUG
rnacentral:rRNA from 1 species